rnacentral:rRNA from 1 species
UACGAAGGGUGCUAGCGUUGUUCGGAAUCACUGGGCGUAAAGCGCGCGUAGGCGGCUUUUCAAGUCAGAGGUGAAAUCCCAGGGCUCAACCCUGGAAUUGCCUUUGAAACUGUAAAGCUGGAGUGUCGGAGGGGAUAGCGGAAUUGCUAAUGUAGAGGUGAAAUUCGUAGAUAUUAGCAGGAACACCGGUGGCGAAGGCGGCUAUCUGGACGACAACUGACGCUGAGGCGCGAAAGCGUGGGGAUCAAACAGG